UAUAGUAAUAGCGUAAAUUUUGGGUAAACUACUCAAUAUUUGUUUCUGGUAAUUCUUGUGUGCCUAAACCCUAAGUUGCCUGACUAUAUAUGACCUUCUAAACUCAUUUACUCAGCAUCAUUACCAACCAAGUUCGAACCGGUAUGCAAUCUAACAAAAAAUGAGUUCUAUGCACUCAAUAUCUGAGUUGAAACAUUUCAAAGGUGAAAAAGAGAUGUAAAAAGUUUUUGGAAGCAAUACUAGGCUAAAGGAGGACAAAAUGCGACAUUUAAAAAGGUUUUGGUUUCUUAGUUUGAUCCUUUUCUGAAACAAGGAUAAAAAGGAUUUGAUUUCUCUUUUUGAUUCAAAUAUAUAAGCAGGUGACUUCAAAUAGACGAGGAGCUUCAUGUUCUCACAUUUUGUUUGACCCUGAACUCCUAGAAAUAGAAGCCUUCAAAAACAAGAUACCAAGAAGAGCCUUUUCAUGUGAGUUGCAUAUUAAUUCGAAUUUUAUUUUGGUUUUCA